rnacentral:rRNA from 1 species
GAUGACACUUCUAUAGUUGCGGGCUUUGCCUGCCAUCUGCUUACCCAUGAUCUGUUUGAGUUACCUUCGUUUCCUCGGCGGGUUCGCCCGCCGGUUGGACAACACUUAAACCCUUUGUAAUUGAAAUCAGCGUCUGAAAAAAACUUUAAUAGUUACAACUUUCAACAACGGAUCUCUUGGUUCUGGCAUCGAUGAAGAACGCAGCGAAAUGCGAUAAGUAGUGUGAAUUGCAGAAUUCAGUGAAUCAUCGAAUCUUUGAACGCACAUUGCGCCCCUUGGUAUUCCAUGGGGCAUGCCCUGUUCGAGCGUCAUUUGUACCUUCAAGCUCUGCUUGGUGUUGGGUGUUUGUCUCGCCUCUGCGCGCAGACUCGCCUUCAAAACAAUUGGCAGCCGGCGUAUUGAUUUCGGAGCGCAGUACAUCUCGCGCUUUGCACUCAUAACGACGACGUCCAAAAAGUACAUUUUUUACACUCUUGACCUCGGAUCAGGUAGGGAUACCCGCUGAACUUAAGCAUAUCAAUAAGCGGAGGGAAAAGAAACCAAUCA